rnacentral:rRNA from 1 species
GAUGAACGCUAGCGGGAGGCUUAACACAUGCAAGUCGAGGGGCAGCACGAGGUAGCAAUACUUUGGUGGCGACCGGCGCACGGGUGAGUAACGCGUAUGCAACCUACCCUGUACAGGGGGAUAGCCCGGAGAAAUUCGGAUUAAUACCCCAUAAAGAUAUCGAGAGGCAUCUUUUGAUAUUUAAAGAUUUAUCGGUACGGGAUGGGCAUGCGUAACAUUAGCUAGUUGGUGAGGUAACGGCUCACCAAGGCUACGAUGUCUAGGGGUUCUGAGAGGAUUCACCCCCACACUGGUACUGAGACACGGACCAGACUCCUACGGGAGGCAG